GACGAACGCUGGCGGCGUGCUUAACACAUGCAAGUCGAACGGAAAGGCCUGCUUUCCCUUGUGGAUUGCGGGUACUCGAGUGGCGAACGGGGGAGUAACACGUGAGUUAUCUGCCCCCAACUUGGGUAUAAGCCUGGGAAACUGGGUCUAAUUACCGAUAGGACUGCAGGGUGGUGCCUGUGGUGGAAAACGAUUUUCUAGUGUUUGGGGAUGAGUCGGCGGCCUUUCAGCUUGUUGGUGGGGUAAUGGCGUACCAAGGCGGCGAGGGGUAGCCGGCCUGGGAGGGUGGACGGCCACAUUGGGACUGGGACCCGGCCCAGACUCCUACGGGAAGCAGCAGUGGGGAAUAUAGCACAAUGGGCGGAAGCCUGAUGCAGCGACGCCGCGUGGGGGAUGACGGCCUUCGGGUUGUAAACUCCUUGCGACCGAGAGGAAGCCACCUGGUUGGAAGGGUGGUGACGGUAGUGGUAGAAGAAGCACCGGCUAACUACGUG
rnacentral:rRNA from 1 species